AGUGAACGCUGGCGGUAGGCCUAACACAUGCAAGUCGAACGGCAGCACAGUAAGAGCUUGCUCUUACGGGUGGCGAGUGGCGGACGGGUGAGGAAUACAUCGGAAUCUACUUUUUCGUGGGGGAUAACGUAGGGAAACGUACGCUAAUACCGCAUACGACCUACGGGUGAAAGCAGGGGAUCUUCGGACCUUGCGCGAUUGAAUGAGCCGAUGUCGGAUUAGCUAGUUGGCGGGGUAAAGGCCCACCAAGGCGACGAUCCGUAGCUGGUCUGAGAGGAUGAUCAGCCACACUGGAACUGAGACACGGUCCAGACUCCUACGGGAGGCAGCAGUGGGGAAUAUUGGACAAUGGGCGCAAGCCUGAUCCAGCCAUACCGCGUGGGUGAAGAAGGCCUUCGGGUUGUAAAGCCCUUUUGUUGGGAAAGAAAAGCAGCAGGUUAAUACCCCGCUGUUCUGACGGUACCCAAAGAAUAAGCACCGGCUAACCUCGUG
rnacentral:rRNA from 1 species